GUGAGGAAUAUUGGUCAAUGGAGGCAACUCUGAACCAGCCAUGCCGCGUGAGCGAUGAAGGCCUUAGGGUUGUAAAGCUCUUUCAGCUGGGAAGAUAAUGACGGUACCAGCAGAAGAAGCCCCGGCUAACUCCGUGCCAGCAGCCGCGGUAAUACGGAGGGGGCUAGCGUUGUUCGGAAUUACUGGGCGUAAAGCGCACGUAGGCGGAUCAGAAAGUCAGAGGUGAAAUCCCAGGGCUCAACCUUGGAACUGCCUUUGAAACUCCUGGUCUUGAGGGCGAGAGAGGUGAGUGGAAUUCCGAGUGUAGAGGUGAAAUUCGUAGAUAUUCGGAGGAACACCAGUGGCGAAGGCGGCUCACUGGCUCGAUACUGACGCUGAGGUGCGAAAGCGUGGGGAGCAAACAGGAUUAGAAACCCCUGUAGUCC
rnacentral:rRNA from 1 species